UAAAGAAUUUUGGACUUCCUGGGUUCAGU
rnacentral:piRNA from 1 species